GACGUAGGGCGCAAGCGUUGUCCGGAUUUAUUGGGCGUAAAGAGCUCGUAGGCGGCUUGUCACGUCGGGUGUGAAAGACCGGGGCUUAACCCCGGGCCUGCAGUGGGUACGGGCAGACUAGAGUGCGGUAGGGGAGACUGGAAUUCCUGGUGUAGCGGUGAAAUGCGCAGAUAUCAGGAGGAACACCGGUGGCGAAGGCGGCAUCCUGGACCGGCAUUGACGCUGAUGAGCGAAAGCCAGGGGAGCAAACGGG
rnacentral:rRNA from 1 species